AUGAUAUUGGCAUGAGCAUAGACGAUGCCGCCAUUAUCAGUGUAGAUGACAACAUUAGCUUUGUAUCCGUCAUUGAAAAGACGAUCCCACAUAUCUUUUGUGGCUGUGGGAACGCAGGUGUGCUCUGGAGCUACAUCGUUACGGUAUCUUUUUUGGUGACCAUCAGAUUUUGAAGGAAGAGGUGGAGGGAUCGGUACAGAAGAAGAAUCAGCAGCUUUUUGAAGAUCAACACAAGCCAUCACCAUUUCUCCUUUUUAUCUUUUCCCUCCCUGAAGCAAAACCAAUUGAAACUUUUGAUUAUAUGUUAAAUACAGAGAUCUUUGCUUUUACUUCACACAAUAAAAAUUCUAUGAAUAAUCCAUUAUCAUUUCACAAAUGUUUUUAAAACCUUUAUUUACGAUCAAGAAUCAUAACAUAUCUUUGAAACUUUUUUCAAGAUUCCAUGAAACAGUUUAACCAUAAUCGUUUUUUCCUCACGCAAUACAGAAAAACAAACAAUGGUCGAGAUCAAACACUAGAUAAUUCAAAACAGAUGAAUAGAGAAAAUGUUAAGAAACAAGAACAUACCUCCUUCAAACGAGCUAAGCUAGAAUCUUGAUUCUGACCGAACCGUUAGAGCAAGUUCAAUCAAAAUUAACUCAAUUAUGAGAAUAUAUAUAAAAGUCUCCUCCUUCCUCUAACCAGCAGGAGAAGAAACUCUAUAGAGAAGCUUCAAAACAGAUCACAGAUCUCUUCUCAUUAUAUAAACACAAACACACUCUCGAAACAAGGGAACACGACAAAAGAUCUUUUGAAGAAAAUAAAUAACCACGUACGCGUGAGACAGAAGCAGCAAGUGCAUGAUGUACUCAUUCAUCUCUUCUUUCUUAUAGCUACAAAAAAAGAAAGAAAGUCAGGUUUAAUAAAAACUAAGAGAAUGUUAAAAGAAGAGGUAAAUAUUAUAGAGAAGUGUACCAAGAAGAGUAGAGGAAACGAAUGAAAACUCGGACAGCUUCAUGAGGGACGCCACGGAUUGAGAUUGUAUACCACUUUCCAUGUUUUUUGGCUUGCUUCAACAUGCCUUUGAUCACACUUGAAGCAGUCCCCUGUUAAAUUAAAAACCAACAAAAAAAAAGACUUAAAGUCUAACCUAGAGAUCCAAACAAUACAAGGAUCAAUAUAAGAUUUCAAAGGAGAGAGCAUUACAAUGAUAUUGGCAUGAGCAUAGACGAUGCCGCCAUUAUCAGUGUAGAUGACAACAUUAGCUUUGUAUCCGUCAUUGAAAAGACGAUCCCACAUAUCUUUUGUGGCUGUGGGAACGCAGGUGUGCUCUGGAGCUACAUCGUUACGGUAUCUUUUUUGGUGACCAUCAGAUUUUGAAGGAAGAGGUGGAGGGAUCGGUACAGAAGAAGAAUCAGCAGCUUUUUGAAGAUCAACACAAGCCAUCACCAUUUCUCCUUUUUAUCUUUUCCCUCC
rnacentral:lncRNA from 1 species